CGCUGGCGGCAGGCUUAACACAUGCAAGUCGAGCGGAGUGAUGGUGCUUGCACUAUCACUUAGCGGCGGACGGGUGAGUAAUGCUUAGGAAUCUGCCUAUUAGUGGGGGACAACAUUUCGAAAGGAAUGCUAAUACCGCAUACGUCCUACGGGAGAAAGCAGGGGAUCUUCGGACCUUGCGCUAAUAGAUGAGCCUAAGUCGGAUUAGCUAGUUGGUGGGGUAAAGGCCUACCAAGGCGACGAUCUGUAGCGGGUCUGAGAGGAUGAUCCGCCACACUGGGACUGAGACACGGCCCAGACUCCUACGGGAGGCAGCAGUGGGGAAUAUUGGACAAUGGGCGCAAGCCUGAUCCAGCCAUGCCGCGUGUGUGAAGAAGGCCUUAUGGUUGUAAAGCACUUUAAGCGAGGAGGAGGCUACUGAAGUUAAUACCCUCAGAUAGUGGACGUUACUCGCAGAAUAAGCACCGGCU
rnacentral:rRNA from 1 species